GGUUGAGGCUCAGUGGUAGAGCGUUCGCUUAGCAUACGCAAGGUCCUGGGUUCAAUCCUCGGCACCA
rnacentral:tRNA from 1 species